rnacentral:rRNA from 1 species
CAGCCGCCACGGUAAUACGUAGGGUGCAAGCGUUAAUCGGAAUUACUGGGCGUAAAGCGUGCGCAGGCGGUCCGCUAAGACAGAUGUGAAAUCCCCGGGCUUAACCUGGGAACUGCAUUUGUGACUGGCGGGCUAGAGUAUGGCAGAGGGGGGUAGAAUUCCACGUGUAGCAGUGAAAUGCGUAGAGAUGUGGAGGAGCACCGAUGGCGAAGGCAGCCCCCUGGGCUAAGAUUGACGCUCAUGCACGAAAGCGUGGGGAGCAAACAGGAUUAGAGACCCGCGUAGUCCCUGUCUCUUAUAU